GCGUAAAGGGUGCGUAGGCGGUCCCGUAAGUUAGGUGUGAAAUCCUUGGGCUUAACCCAGGAACUGCAUUUAAAACUGCGGGACUCGAACGUGAGAGAGGGCAAUGGAAUUUUUGGUGUAGGGGUGAAAUCCGUAGAUAUCAAGAGGAACGUCAGGGGCGAAAGCGAUUGCCUGGAUCACAGUUGACGCUGAGGCACGAAAGCGUGGGAGCAAACAGGA
rnacentral:rRNA from 1 species